rnacentral:rRNA from 1 species
GAGUUUGAUCAUGGCUCAGAACGAACGCUGGCGGCAUGCCUAACACAUGCAAGUCGAACGGGAUCCAGGCUUCGGCCUGGUGAGAGUGGCGGACGGGUGAGUAACGCGUGGGAACCUGCCCAAUGGUCUGGGAUAACCGCGGGAAACUGCGGCUAAUACCGGAUAAGCCCGAGAGGGGAAAGAUUUAUCGCCGAUGGAGGGGCCCGCGUCCGAUUAGGUAGUUGGUGGGGUAAUGGCCUACCAAGCCUACGAUCGGUAGCUGGUCUGAGAGGAUGAUCAGCCACACUGGGACUGAGAUACGGCCCAGACUCCUACGGGAGGCAGCAGUGGGGAAUAUUGGACAAUGGGGGCAACCCGUGAUCCAGCAAUGCCGCGUGAGUGAUGAAAGCCUUAGGGUUGUAAAGCUCUUUUGCGGGGACGAUGAUGACGGUACCCGCAGAAUAAGCCCCGGCUAAACUUCGUGCCAAGCCGCCGCGGUAA